rfam:Ailuropoda melanoleuca scaffold2596_8, whole genome shotgun sequence.
ACCUGGCUGGUUUAGUUGGUAGAACAUGUGACUCUUGAUCUUGUGGUUGUGAGUUCAAACCCCACAUCAGGGG